rnacentral:rRNA from 1 species
UUAAACUAAAGAGUUUGAUCCUGGCUCAGAUUGAACGCUGGCGGCAUGCCUUACACAUGCAAGUCGAACGGCAGCACGGAGCUUGCUCUGGUGGCGAGUGGCGAACGGGUGAGUAAAAUAUCGGAACGUACCCAGGAGUGGGGGAUAACGUAGCGAAAGUUACGCUAAUACCGCAUACGUCCUAAG